rnacentral:rRNA from 1 species
AUGGCGGUUGAGGAGAUGCAGUUUGCCAUGCCGAUGGCCGCCGGCUCCGAGGGAUUUCACUUCACCCCGUUCCAGGGGGAGAAGGAGCAGGCGGAGUUGUUCGUCGGGGCCACCAGGGCGGAGCCGGCGGAGGACGAGGCCUUCGUCAGGGUCAGGGCGAAGACGGAGGCGGAGGCGGAGGCGGCGAUCCUCAAGGCCAAGGCGGAGGCAGAGAAGGUGGCGGCGAUCUUCAAGGCCAGGGCGGAGAAGGAGCCCAAGGCGGAUGUGGAGGAGGAGGCUUUCGUCGUCAAGGCCAAGGAGGAGAAGGAGGAGGCGUUCGUCGUCAAGGCCAAGUCCAAGGCGAAUGACCCGGCGUUCAUGGCGCUGGCGGGACAGAGGGGCCCUGGUAUGGCGGAGGCGGACGAGAUGGACUACAUGUCGGACGAGACGGACUACGGCUCGGACGAAGACAUUGACGUGACCUACGCCAAGAUGUGUGAGCGGUUCGAGCUGCGCAGGCGGGUGAGGCAUGCUCACAUGCCCUGGCUCAAGUUCCAGUCCGCUGCCUCCCUCCUCAAGAUGCAGGAGGAUAACAAGGGACGGCAGGAGGAGGUUUCCGUGGUCGUCUGA